AGGCAAAGGUGACCAGAAAAGUAGGAAGCUACUGGGAGGGAAUAAUAUUUUUCAAAGACACAUUAUUCCAUUAAUGUAAAACCCCAGCAGAGCUCCCAGUGGCUCCAGGUGUGGCAUUAACACUGUGUCUUUUAACUCAGUCCACUCACUCUGCCCCUUACUGCUGCUGGCUAAUUAAAACCAUAGGGGCCUCAAACCCUAUUCUUAGCAGUCUGCUUGGAUUUCCCAGGUUAGUUCCUGCCCUUGAUCUUGCCUAAAUUGCUCCCACACAACUGUGUGCACAUUCAGAUUCAACGUUCUGUCUUUCUUUGCUGAUCUCAUGUGCAGCCUCUGGCUUGGGCACAUUUAAUUUCUCUGUUCUUAACAUGCAGUUCUCCCUAAGAUGCUGAUGCUGAUCAUGUUAUUGCUCUAUUGGGGCAUAAACAUGAAAUGGUUUUAUUUAUUUUUUUAAUGAACUUUCAAUCAUGUUAUGACUAAUGCCUUUUUCAAGUUCUGAUGAGUGAUUCUAUAAUUUCCUGUCCAUCUUUAGAUGUUAAAAGCCAAGUUCCUUUGAAAUUUUAGUCUUUAAUAUGGUUUAAAUUUUAGGCUCAGCAUCUCUCCCUUCCCCCACCUGGCAUAGGCUUGACCCAGUGCCUGAUGUCUGAGGCUCUUCUGCUGUUCUUCCACUUCUCUCACCCCAGCUUUUUGAUGGGAUUGAGUGUGGGUGGGAAGGGCCUUCAUUAAAUUCUCUCUUUUUGGGAUUAACUUUGCUCAGGUUGGAGGGCUUUGGGGGUCUGGGAGGAGAUGGUGGAGGCAGGUUCAUAUGAGGAUAACAUGAGAUGCAUGUCAUGAUGGGGAGGUUGUCCUGGCUAGCAUAAGGCUCAGUGUGAUUCCACCCACUUCUAGUGACCUCUUCAUGGCUGGUAAAUUAGCUUCCACAGUUCUGCUCCAUUGCUGAGGUUUCCCCAGAGAGGGAAGCCAUGUCCCCUGAGACUCCCGAUAUUGGUCCAUGUUUCAAUCUUCUUUCCAAGGUGGCAGCUUCUCCCUCUCCAUUACCACCAGGAUGGCCCCAGAGCUCCUGCUGUUUCACAUGAAAGAGCAGAGAUUUUCACUGCAGGAGAGAGCUGUGGUGAGGUACAAAUGAGAUAACAGAUGGAAAAGCACUUUGCACACAGAUCCACUGAUAUAUGCAAAUAAGAAAUAUUAUUACCAUCCAGAAUGAGUGACUCUCUUAGUGGGUUGCAUAAUUGAAUAACUAAUUAAACAAUUUUUUCUUAUUGAAAGUCUAUCAUGUGCAAGAAAUGUGUUGGAG
rnacentral:lncRNA from 13 species